rfam:Felis catus isolate Cinnamon breed Abyssinian chromosome D4, whole genome shotgun sequence.
GCCUGGGUGGCUCAGUCGGUUAAGCGGCUGACUUCGGCUCAGGUCAUGAUCUCAUGGCCCGUGAGUUCGAGCCCCGCAUCAGGCU